rnacentral:rRNA from 1 species
GAUGAACGCUGGCGGCGUGCUUAACACAUGCAAGUCGAACGAGAAGUGAAGACGGAAACCUUCGGGCGGAAGGCUUUAUUUCGAGUGGCGGACGGGUGAGUAACGCGUGGGUAACCUGCCUCAUACAGGGGGAUAACAGUUGGAAACGACUGUUAAUACCGCAUAAGACCACAGCACCGCAUGGUGCGGGGGUAAAAACUCCGGUGGUAUGAGAUGGACCCGCGUUCGAUUAGCCAGUUGGCGGGGUAACGGCCCACCAAAGCGACGAUCGAUAGCCGAUCUGAGAGGAUGACCGGCCACAUUGGGACUGAGACACGGCCCAAACUCCUACGGGAGGCAGCAGUGGGGAAUAUCGCACAAUGGGGGAAACCCUGAUGCAGCGACGCCGCGUGAGUGAAGAAGUAUUUCGGUAUGUAAAGCUCUAUCAGCAGGGAAGAAAAUGACGGUACCUGAGGAAGAAGCCCCGGCUAACUACGUG